GCUAGCCCCAACCCUCAGCCCAUGCCCUUCUCUUCUCAGCCCAGGCUCCAUCUGCACCAUGAGGAGCAGUGUGUGUGUGUGUGGACACCUAGCCCAUAAGUGCAAGCUGUUGUCACCCACUCUCUCGUGAACUGUCACUCUCUGACAUACCUAAAGGGAGAACAGAUGCAGGGAAGAGACCUGUGCAGGUAAUCCAGAUCUGAGCUCAGAGUGCUGUUCUGGAGUCUCUGUUACUCCAGUCUAGCCCUGUUGCACAGUGGUAUUGACACGAAGUCCUUGGAAACCACCAAUCAUUCUCCAGGGCCAUGAGUUGCUGAGGGAAUAUGGAAGACAGUGGAAUAGUACUCAAGGAAGAAGCCCAAGCCAUGAAAGUCCACCCAGAUGCAGCCUGCUGCUGGGCCUCUGCCUGCCACGCCCGUUCCUGCCUUGACCUUCCACACACUGGUCUCCAAGUCUCAAGUUCUCUGUUAUGUAUCUCUAGCUACACACAACCUGGUAACCUGUUGUAAUUCCC
rnacentral:lncRNA from 1 species